AUGCCCUCUUCGUUUCCACGUGGAGCACGCUCUAUUCCUAUCACGUGGCUGAGGGGGCUGUCUUUGAUUGGCUGCCAGCCCGAGUCUCUUGAAACUUGUGAUGCUGUACCCUUUUUUGCCUCAGUGCCUCCCUCCUUUCCCGCCCCACCCGUGUGGUUUCGAGGAAUUGACCCUGGGGGUGUUUGUUUCAAACCCCAGUUUCUAAGGGUCAGAAGUGGGAGUUUGGGCAGAGGUGGCCUUGGAGCAGGUAUUGCAGGCCGGGUGGGGCAGCAACGAGCCUCUGAGAAGCAGAGGUGUCUGAGAAUGGAGCCCCAGGGACGUUGUGGCCUUGGAACUCAAAUUGUCCUCUUUAACUGCUCUGGAACCGAGUUUAACUAUACAGCGAAUUCUUUUGGCUCCCCUCUGAGGUGGUGGGAAAGAUUAUGCCUUCCACGCAGUGGGAUGAAGAAGCUAGUUAAAUCCAGCAAAACCCUGAAGUUGACAUCAGAGUGAAUAAUAAUCAAGAAGUACAACUAGACAUGACAGUGUGCUAUUGCUUACUUUGGGGGAAGUCCCUAGACAUGAACCAUGCUGAAGAUUUCUCUUAGAGAUUUUCCUGAAGGAACUCUAUGGUGGAGAGGAGUACCAGAGAAGGAAACAGCUUAGCUUACAGCAUGGGAUCCGAUUCAACUCUAUGAGAUCCCAGAUACCUUUGGGACCCCCUCAGUCAUUGGAUGCAUACAAAAGCCCAGAAGACUAUUUUCUAUCUGAAUUAAAAGGAGUCGAACUCUUUGUGGAUUACAAAUAUUGAGAGUUUUGAUGAUGAGAAGGGAGGAAAAAUGGCAGCAUGGCUCCAGAAUGGUUUCUUUAUCAUGUCAGCAGGCAUCUCGACCCUAUUCUCAAAGAACUGCUGGGCUCAUCAUAAAUUAAGAUAAUUUAUUGCCAUUAUCAUUCCUAAAUGAUGCUGAGAAACUUCAAGAACUACCUUGGCAAAACAGUAUCUCAAAGACUUUAUAGUGUCAGCUUUUUCUCCUUGAGUCAUGUAGCAUUAAUCAGUUUGAGUAUGAAUUUGUUUACUUAAGAUGCCUUCCUGCCAGUCUUUUUCUCAUGUAAAACUUCUGUUUUCUUAGUUUGCAAAUAAUCAUGGAACACAUGAAGGAUAAGCCUAAAGAAAUUAUCAGAGACACAUAGUAGGAAAUGCCUUGCCCAGAGUCACACAACUAGAAAAAGUCAGAGACAGGAUUUGAACAUAGAUUUUGUUGAACCCAAAUCUAACACCCUAGUUAAUUUACUACCCUGCCUUUAAUCAUAAAAGAGCAUUGAAAAAAUAGGAAAUUGUGAAUAAAGUGCAAAAAUGUCAACUGUUGCCA
rnacentral:lncRNA from 1 species